GCUGGCAUCCCAGGGUGACUUCACCAUGGGCUGUCAUCGCUGAGGCCAUAAAAAGCCAAAAGCACUACCCUUGAGUCAUCCUAGCCCCUUGGAGCCAAAAACGUAGCAACGUCACGUCUGUAGUUGACCUCGGUUCCGGGCACCUUCCUGAGCAUUCUUCGGGAGGCACUUGUGAAACUCAGCCCAGGUGCUGCCCAGGAUCAGGAGGCUGAGACGUGAUCUGGAAGUGAGUGCCCAUCCAUACACCUUCCCCAGCUUUGGGGCCACAGAGGGACAGAAACCGCAGGCAGGCUGGCCUGGGAAUGAACCUACACCAGCCUGAAGUCAGAAGAGCCUCUAGGAGCCUCCAGCCUGGACUCUUUUUACAGAUGGGGAAACUGAGUCCCAGAGAGGGAGCAAUGAAGGAUGUCUAAGGUCAUCAGCAACGUAAAGCCAACAGCAUCAUCCUGAGUCAUGUUUGAACCUGAGGGAAAGAAACAUAUGUUCGAAGAGGUUCUGAGGCUGCUGCACCCGAUAUCAUACCUGGUUGGCCCUGGGAAAGGGCCCACCUCCAAUACAUAAACACAACCAGCUUUGACAGUGAGCCCUGAAGCAUGGCAUUGAGAAGCUGCCUAAGAAGGAGGCAGAUCCAUCAGCCUGGGUGCCCGACUGAUUACCCUGAGCAGAGCUCCCCAGCCCACCUGUGAUGGACGCAUGGAGCUUGAGCAAGGAAUAAAUAUUCGUUGCUUCCUGAGAACCCCACUGCGGAUGAGAACAAACGUUUGUUCGGCUGACCCUUUCUCAGAUCCCGCCCACUGAGAAGUGACAGUCCCUCCUCUCCCCGCCUCUCCCUGACCCCCAGCUCUCCGCGGCGGGAUCUGAGCCCUCUCCUGCUGGACUUGUGGUACUUGCUGAACAAUCUCGUGUUGUUGUCUGCCCGCUGGGAGAGAACACUGAUAAGAGAGGCGAUUAGGUGACUAAAUCUGCUGGCUGCCCUUACACAAUGCCAGCAGGUAACUCAUUUGAAGCUUAAUGGCUGGAUUUAGUCAUAAAGGAGGCCUGCAGAGGGAGUGAUGUCAGAAGUGCAGGAGAUUGGAGGCGGAAUCAGGGCUUCCAACCGAUAGAUGGAAAGAGAUUGUCAGCAAGAUGUAGAAAUGUGUUUGUGUGUAAGAACACAGCACAUUGUGCACCUUCACAUAUGUGUGUAAGAGAGAGAGAACCAAAGAACCCAAGGGCUGAAAAAGCCUUGGUGAUUCUAGUUCCAGCUACCUUAUUUUAUAGAUGGGGAAACUGAGGAAAGGGCUUGUGCAAGAUCCGGCUUCUGGGAGUCCUGUUCUCUAUCACAGCAGGAAGUGGAAUUAUUCUGGUAUUAUUUACUUGCCACUUUUCAUCUCCAGGAGUCAUAGCCAUUUUUAUCUCUCCCUGUGUAUCUGUUUGCCCCUGGGGGUAGCACUGUGCCUGAGGUCUGGCUGCUGAGAAAUGAAACACUCCUAAUGUGCGGAUGGAGGCACAGUCACCGCAGGGCCAGGCAGUAAGAUGCAUCAUUGAAUAGGGAAGCCCAUAGGGUGUGCAGCGUUUGGGAAUGGUGGGGACUGUGGCUUGCACGCAAGAAUACACUCGGUUUCAGAGGGACAGCUGCCACUUAGUGCCAGGCAGAUUUAGCCUUGGAAAAUGCAAACCCAGUUUUGCUAGACCUUAGGAAUUUCAAAAGAAUCUUGUUCAAGUGAGGAACAAGAUUUUUUUUUCUAGGCAAAGUCUCUGAUUUUUUUUAAUGUAGGUAAAUGUUUAAAUGCUUUGUUUUUCAAUACUUUGGAUCAAUCAACACAUCUGCAGUCAGGAUGGGGCCCAUAGCCCUCAGCUGGUGACCACUGAUCAUUUUAUCGAUGGGAACACUGAAGUCCAGAAAGAAGAACCAAAACUUGGGUCUCAUGCUUCCCUGUACUGGGGAAUUUUUUUCUACUGCAUUGCACAGUAUGUGUGUGUGUAUGUGUGUGUGUGAGAGAGAGAGAGAGAGAAGAAAGAGAGAGUGUAUGUGUGUGAGAGAGAGAAGAAAGACAGAGAGACAGUGUGUGUGUGUGUGUGAGAGAGAGAAGAAAGAGAGACAGUGUGUGUGUGAGAGAGAGAAGAAAGACAGAGAGACAGAGUGUGUGUGUGUGUGUGAGAGAGAGAGAAGAAAGAGAGACAGUGUGUGUGUGAGAGAGAGAAGAAAGAGAGACAGCGUGUGUGUGUGAGAGAGAGAGAGAGAGAAGACAGAGAGACAGAGUGUGUGUGUGAGAGAAGAAAGACAGAGAGACAGAGUGUGUGUGUGUGUAUGUGAGAGAGAAGACAGAGUGUGUGUGUGUGUGAGAGAGAGAAGAAAGAGAGACAGAGUGUGUGUGUGUGUGAGAGAGAGAAGACAGAGAGACAGAGUGUGUGUGUGUGAGAGAGAGAGAGAAGACAGAGAGACAGAGUGUGUGUGUGUGUGUGUGUGAGAGAAGAAAGACAGAGAGACAGAGAGAGUGUGUGUGUGUGUGUGUGAGAAAGAAGACAGUGUGUGUGUGUGUGUGAGAGAGAAGAAAGAGAGACAGAGUGUGUGUGUGAGAGAGACAGAGAGAGAAGACAGACAGUGUGUGUGUGUGUGAGAGAGAGAGAGAGAAGACAGAGAGACAGAGUGUGUGUGUGUGUGAGAGAGAGAGAAGAAAGAGAGACAGAGUGUGUGCAUGUGUGUGUGAGAGAGAAGAAAGAGAGACAGAGUGUGUGUGUGAGAGAGAGAAGAAAGACAGAGAGACAGAGUGUGUGUGUGUGUGUGAGAAGAAAGAGAGACAGAGUGUGUGUGUGUGUGUGAGAAGAAAGACAGAGACAGAGUGUGUGUGUGUGUGAGAGAGAGAGGAGAGACAGAGUGUGUGUGUGUGUGUGUGUGUGUGUAUAUACACAUCUAUGUAGGCACAAUCUGAUGAAAAACCAGAGCUCUACAUAACAAUACUCCUGACCAUUCAUGGUACAAUGUGAUCUUUACCCACAUAAUCUGCACAGCAGCCACUGGCCAUAAACAUUUCUGUGUUUGCUCACUCCUCACUGCAGGCUGUAUGUGUAUCUGUCAUUCAUCACUUCACAGGCUCCUUUACAUGUAUUUUAUCCUUUCUAUCCCUAACACUGGGACAAGGAGCCUUAAGUAAUAUUGUCCUACCCAUUGGGCAGAUGAGAAGACUGAGGUCUACAGUGGUACAUGGACCAGCCCAAGGUCACAUGGGGAGUGAAAGGCAGAGAUGGAAUUCAGACCCCAGUCUCUCAGGGACUCUGAUUACACUGGACCUAUCCAAGAUCUGAGAUCAUCAACUCAUCUCAAAAUCCUUAAGCUGACCACAGCAGCAUCGUCCCUUUUGCAGUGUAAGGGAGCCCAGCUGGGACAAUGUGUGAAUCAACGCAUGAAGGAGUGAGUGAGCAGCUAACCAAAUGAAAGAAUACUCAGAUAUCUGGGGUACAGUUCCCCUCCAGGUUUGCACAGCAUCUGCUGAAGUCUCCACUAGAAACUCAAUGGAAGGUCCCCACCGGAAACUGAAAGUCUCCUAGAGUGGCUUUGAGUUGCGGUUUCACCCUCCCUGCAGAUCCACAGGGGAGGCUGGGGCAGAUGGAAAAUACCAACUUGAUGGUCUGUGGCCACACCAUGCUGCUCCCCAAGGCCCCUCAGAAUUUCACUGCCCAAUAUGGUAGCGCCCAGCCUGAAACGUGGCCAGUGUGAAUUGAGAUGGGCUGGAAAUGCACCAGACUUCCAAGAGCUGGACAAAAACCAUAUACUUUCCAUCCAGCUGUUUGGCAUUGGAUACUGCUGCCUCUGCUUGACUUGAGAAUGUGUGAGAAAAGCUGUGUUUAGACAACUGAAAACCAUGAGCUUGAAAGUAGUGGGGGCACACUCUUGGAGACUCCAGUUGCUCACCAGCUUGGACAAACCACUGGACUCAAAUGAUCAGGUAGAAAUUCAUCACUGGAGAGAACACAGUGGAAUGGCUUCAGCGAAAACUCACUCUGAAGGUCUUCAGGGCAACUUUAAGACUUGCCCCUGGCCGGGCACAGUGGCUUAUGCCUAUAAUCCCAGCACUUUGGGAGGCCGAGGCGGGUGGAUCACCUGAGGUCAGGAGUUCAAGACCAGCCUGGCCAAUAUGGCGAAACCCUGUCUCUACUAAAAAUCCAAAAAAUUAGCCGGGCGUGGUCGUGGGCGCCUGUAAUCCCAGCAACUCGAGAGGCUGAGGCAGGAGAAUUGCCUGAACCCGGGAGGCAGAGUUUGAAGACAGCCGAGAUUGCACCACUGGGCAACAAGAGCAAAACUCCAUCUCAAAAAAAAAAAAAAAAAAAAAAAUACUUGCCCCGGCUUUUUGUGUGAUGGACUUUCUAUUUACAGACGUGAUAUUUAUCUAUGACUUUACUCAGAGUCUGGCUCAUAGACCAGAAGGACUGGUAUCUCCUGGAGCUUGCAGGAAAUGCAAAAUCUCAAACCCCUGUAUUAGUCAGGGUUCUCCAGAGAAGUAGAGCCAAUGGGAUAGAGACAGGGAUAGGGAUGAUAGAGAUGGAGAUAGAGGUAGAGAUCCAUUGAUUCCUCUGUUAAUAAAUUGGCUCAUGCAGUUGUGACAAUUUCGAAAUCUGCAAGGUAUGUCAGCAAGCUGGAGACCCAGGGAACAGUUGAUGUUGCACCUUGAGUACAAAGGCAGUGUGUCUGGAGCCAUAAUAUCUUCUUGUUAGGAAGACUUUGGUCUUUUCUCUUCUGGCCUUCAACUGCUUGGGUGAGGCCCGUCCCCACUACAGAAGACAAUAGUCUGUUCUACUCAGAGUCUACUGAUUUAAAUGCUCAUCUCAUCCCAAAAAAUACCCUCACAGCAACAUUUAGCCUGUGCAUUUGACCAAACAACUGGGUACCAUGCCCCCCCUCCCAAGUUGACACACAAAAUUGACCAUCAUACCCUCCCCACCCCCAGUCUUACUGAAUGAGAGAGAAUCUGUGCUUCAACAAGAUCCCCAGAAGAGGUAUAAGCGCAGGGAAGUCUGAGAAGCACCACCUUUGAGGCUUAUCCAGGAUGCCCACAUGAGCCUUCUCUGGAUAUGUCAGAUCCCCUUCCUGGCCCCCUAGACACCUCCUCCACUCCCCAAACUUGGAAGCAACAUUGUGGGGAAGCAGGCAGUGAGGCGCUCAGUCUACCACGUUGUGAGAUACACAGCUCCAUCUGUGUAUCAUGAUUUGAUCCAAGGGAAAACAAAAGAUCCAGAAACAUAAGUACUUUUUUGUGAGCUCUCAAAAACUUCCUGUGACAAGAUCAGGUCGUUGAUGCGAGAGCCACACUUGUUUCUUUUUCCUCUUUAUUCUCCACCUCUGACAUAAUACUUAGCAUAAAAAAAAAUCCAAUAAACACCACUGAAUCAAUUAUCUAAGCCUCAGUUUCCCUCUUGUAAUAUGUACUUACCUGGUUGUGGUAGGAAAGACACCAGGCAUGAGAAACACUUAAAAGCCCAGGACCCUGAGCUGGGCACAUGGUAGGUACUCAGGAAGUCAUUGCCGAGUGUUCAGUGCAUGCUUGUUGAAUGAGUAAAUGAGGUCAGGCUUCAGCAUGCAAACACUCGCUAUAAAGCAGGAACCCUGUGCCCUGAGUGCACAAAAUAGAUAUCGAGAAGGAACACAGGCUCAGACAUCAGUGCCAUAUCUGAAGACAUUCAGCUAAUAACAGGAUGGAGUCCAAUCUGCUGGUGUGUGCACACCUGUGCCUGGGUGUCUUUGCUGGUGUGUGCACAUGUGUCUACAUGUGUGGUCGUGAGAGUACACACAGGGGCUGGAGGGUGGGGAAGGGCUUAAUCUAAUCCUGAAAGUGCCAGCAGAACUCUUGGGUGUCCCUCAAAGUCAAGCUUCUUUCCAGGUCAUCGAAGUUUUCACUUGGGUAAUAAUGCACGCAUAAUUAACUGAACAAAUAUAAUGAAUCUAUCUGUAGUGACAUGAUAGUUGGUGCUGAAUCCUAUUAGAGCACAUUUAAUUAAAAAUGCAUUAAACCUUCAAGCUUCUAAACACACCCUGCGCUUCUUCAAAGCCGCCCCUCCGUUAAAGUCUUCCCCACUAUUAACUAUGAGUCAGCCUGUGACCCUUUGGGCAUGACGGGGUGAGGUGAAGUGGCUCUUAAAUGCCUGUGCCAGUAUAUCACAGGCACUAAUGGAUUUAAAUCAGGGAGAUUAAUUCCAUUCAUUCGGCUCCUCAUUUCAGAAACAACUGUCACGCUGAGCCUAAUUGCUGAAGAUGGUUGAAGGCACCAGGAGGCUGGAGUUUCCUGGAGGUGGUUUGUGGCCAACCGUCAAUUACUUGGGCUGCUGUGCAGUGGGGAUAGAAGGAUGAUUAGAAUCCACAGACAACCCAUUGGCCUUUGUUUACCAUUAACUUCUGUUUUCUCCACCAGCCAAGCUCCUCCAGACCCAGGAGAUGGCUCUUCCCUCUGUGUAGCACACUCUUUCCAGUCAAGGGGUCUUGCACUGCUAUUUCCCCUUCUGCUUUGCUUGGUUCAUUCUUACUGACCCUCCAAAUACUGAAGGAAUGAAUGGAGAAAUAAGUAAAUGAGAGAUGUGGCCAAGAGUCUCCAAGAGAGGAAAUUAAAAAAUCCUAUACCUGUGAGGAACUGGCCCACUUGCAAAAGGCGGACUCAUUUGUCACUGUGUUUGCUGGCUGCUCGCACCACACAGUUUCCAGCCUAGGCAUUAUUUCCAACCUCUUUUUCCAAAGGGUCUUUCUAAGGUACAGAAAAUGGACAUAAAAUCGCCCAACGUAGUUGAGAGGUAAGGAGUAAAAGCCGGAAUUUGAACUCCUAAUCUCCUGCCACGAUUUCAUGCUGCCUCUGGGUAAUCUCCCAGCACGUUGCUUAAUCAGCUGCUGAGUCAUUGAGAGCCGGCAGAACCAGCUUCCUGCUGAGGCAGAGUGGGAGGAGGCCCGUCUGGGAGCAGCACACUGAAGGAAGGGAGGAGGAGGUGAUGUUUGGCACAAUCGGAUUGGUUCCCAUGAGGUCCAGGGCUGCGGCUCCUACAGAAGGCACUUUUUGCAUAUGGUAGGCUUCACGGGGUGCAACCUCUGUGUUGUUAGGAGAACCUCGUGCUUGCUAUGAUGCUCUGCUGUCAUUAUCUUGAAAUUCUUAGUCACAUUAAAACACGGGAGCCUACAUGUUUAUUUUGCACUGGAUCCUGCAAAUUAGCCAGUCCUGGUACUGAGGGCAGGUCCCUGGGUGAGUCUCACACAGCCUCCAUCCUUUGGUAAAGCAGCUUUCCUGAUUUAGCAAAUGCCUUACCAGAAAGCCUUUUCCUUGAAGAUGCUUUAACUUUUGUCUUCCCUGGCAAAGCUGUUUCCUUAUGGUAAAGCACCCAGCUCAUAGCUGAUAUUCAAUCCAUGAAGUAGCUCUGUCAGCAGCUGUCAUCAUGAAGACUUUGCAGCCUGCGGGUGGUAGCAUUCUGAAUCGUCAGUCUGUCUCGCUCCUGUAGCAAAUGCACGAUCCGGGAAAGCAUGUCCCAAGCUUUGUUCUGGAGAAGAUUUCUCCAGCUAUCAGAUGGUGUCUGUCAUCACAAUAGCUUAGGAGAUGCUGCUCACUCCAUCCUCCUCACUAAGUGUCACAGUACACUUGGGUAUGUACAAGUCUCUGAGAAGUCCAGCAGCAAAGACACCUUUGUGUUUUGCUGAUUCUAGCCUUUCCUAGACUAGAAGUCUUUUUUUCUAGUCUAGGAAAAGACUGUGGAAUCUUUUCUUUUUUUUCCUGAUACACACAUUCACAUUCCGUGGAACAUUUAGGACGUGGUUAUCUGGUCCUAAAGUAGUAAAGGUGAAGAUGUUGUGGGAGGUGCAAGAAAGAGCAGCAAGGAGUAGAUGGGGCACACUGCAAAGUGCGAUCCCCACAUACCUAAGUUAGUAUCAAUUACUACUAACAAAACUCGGCCAAGACUCUUUUGCAUUCGUUUUGUUUCUCUCUUUUACCCUGAUUAUAUUAAGAAAUAUGACAGGCCUGUGACUCACUGAUUAGACCAUCUUAGUCACUUUGGGUUGUCCCAGCAACAGGAGACUUAACUCUGACCAUAGGUAAGGAGCCCAGAGGACAGGAGAGCAGGGAUUUCUGAGGAUUUAACAAAUGCUUAUAAACAAAUGAUAUCACUUUGAACAAAGUAAUCAAAGUAUCAAAUGCUAUAAACACCACAGUAGGGCAAUGUGUGAAUCAUACUUGUGGUGAGACAUACAUAGAUCAGCUGCAAAGAGGAACUCAAUUCUGCAGAACCUCAGCUGGAGUAACUGAUGUGAAACAUGGACAGGGAAAUGGAAGGAAGUCAGCGGACACGGAAACUCUAGGAACUGAACUUUGACAAGGAACGCCGUCCAUAAUCCCAAGUCCUAUGACUUCAUAGAGGAAAAAAACCCUAGUGGAGCAGAACAGGGCCUCAUAGAGGGGCUGGGGCCUCACUGAGGGCUGGGAAGUUUGAUAGGACUUCCCUUGCUGGUAAGGAACAAAACUGGGUCUCAGGUUCAGGUUUGUAAAGCUAAUUUCAUACAUUUGCAGCAGAUGCUGUCAGUGUCCCUCCCCAAGCCCCUCAGCACUCAGCAUUCAUAGACAUCCUCAUCUUGCAAGCACCUGAGUCUCUCUCUGUAAGGUUUCUGUUGGCCUCAGGGCAGACCAGGGUACCAGGGAGGGCAGACCAGGGUACCAGGGAGCACAGCCCUCAAAGAAAGAUGACAGGAGUUGGUGUAAAUCUCAUGGCUUUCAUGUUACUUAGGGGGACCAAUGCUGAGGCAUGCUUAGCAUGAUCCUCUGUGAGACUGGGCCUCAGGUGUCCGCUGCAGCCGCCUGUUCAUUAGUGUGACAUGCACGGGAUUCCUUCCGUAUCCUGGCCCCUUUCUCUACUUCCCAACCGUGCUUCCUGAGACAUACUCAAAUCCUUGUCUCACACUUGGCUUCUGGGAGAAUCCAACUGCAAAUGCUGUGUUUUAUUUUUUAUUUAUGUAUUUAAUUAUUUGGAGAUAGGGUCUCCCUCUGUCACCCAGGCUGGAGUAAAAUGGCACAAUCCUAGCUCACUGCAAUAUUAAACUCCUGGGCUCCAGUAAUCCUCAGCCUCCAGGAGCUGGAACUACAGUCGUGCACAGCAAUGCCAGCUAAAGUUUCCUUUAAAUUUUUUGUAGAGUCAAGAUCUCACUAUUUCAGUCAGGUCUUGAACUCCUUGCCUCCCAAAGUUCUGGGAUUACAGCACUUGGCCUCCCAAAGUGCUGGGAUUACAGGCGUGAGCCACUGCAUCUGGCUGUUUAUUCCAUUAAAAUGAUUGAAGGAGUCUCUUGCUUUGGGAAUUUUGCUCCCGUGGUGAGAACACUAUGGGAAUGACAUCUCAAGAAUAUGGCUCCUUCAAAUGAAUUUAAAAUGGUCUUUCUAUUUUUGUCCAGUGGUUACAAUAGCUGAUGGGCUCGAGGUAAGGAGAUGCUAAGCUGCCAUUCUCUCCUUCAACCCAUGGCAUUUACUGAGCUUCUAAAUCAGUCAGGCCCUGGGCUGGACCCUGGGCAUGCAGACUGAAUCAGAGCCUUCAGGACUAGCAGGAGAGACAGGUAUAUAUAGUGGCAAGGGCAAUAUUUAUUCACUCAUUCAUUCUUUUUCCUUUUUUAUGUGCCAAAUCUUUAAUGAGGGCCUACCUUGUACUCAGGAACACCAGGAAUAAACAGAAAACAAAAAGAUAUCAUUUCUGGACUCAGUUCACCAUCUAGAGAAAAAAAAAAAAAAAAAAAAAGACCUGAAAUGGACAAAUACAGUACUGUUUGACAAAUGUCACGUAAGAAGAAGCCCAUGAUACUGAGGAUGGUAUAGGAGGGGCCGUAUCCAGGUUGAAGGAGUCAAAUAUGACAGCUGCCGUGAGAAUUACAAUCAGAAAACCAUGACCCGGAUGCUUAUCCUAUUCAUUGCUUGAGCCUGAGAACACAAACACACAGGGUGUGGCUGAAAUUCCUCUGAAAUUGUAUUGAUUUGAGAAAACUGCAAUCUUGUGUUAAAAUGUGAAUCAUACACAAGGAUGCAAAACAGUUACCGCUGACCAUAAAUCUAGGCUAUCAGAAUGGAAUCUGAUGGCUUGUCUACCAGACUGCAUUGUGAAACCAAUCAAAUGGGAGAUAGACUCACCACUUACCAAGUACCUCUGAGACACCAGGCACCCUGUGGGGUGCCCUACUCAUCAUCUUGUUUAACCAGUUGAUUGGGAAUAGCUCCAUUUUACAGAGAAAGACUGUUAGGCAGCUUUCUAAGAUGGCCCUAAUUAUUCCUUCCUUCUGGUAAUCCCCUUCCUUUAAAUGUGGGCUACACUUAAUUACCUGCUUUUAACAAACAGAAUAUAGCAAAAGUGAUGGGAUGUCAGGAGACUGAAUCAGUAACCAAAAACCUCCAGACAAAGAAAAGCCCAGGGCCAGAGGGCUUCACUGGUAAAUUUACCAAACAUUUAAAGAAGAAUUAGCACCAGUCUUUCUCAAACUCCUCAACAAAUUGAAGAGGAGAGAACACUUCUAAAUACACUUUAUGAGGCCAGCAUUACCCUAACAUCAGAGCCAGACAAAGACACAAGAAAAGAAAACUACAGACUAAUAUUUCUAAUGAAUCUUGAUGCACAAAUCCUCAAAAAAGAAGAAAACAUACUAGCAAACAUAAUUCAGCCGCACAUUAAAAGGAUUAAGCACCAUGACAAAGUGGGAUUUAUUCUUAGUAUAAAAGGAUAUUUCAACGUAAAAAAGUCAAUGUAAUAUAUCACAUUAAUAGAAUGAUGAGAAAAAAUCCACAAGAUUAUCCCAAUUGAUGCAUUUAACAAAACUUAAUACUCUUUCAUGAAAAAACACUCAACAAACCAGGAAUACAUGAAACUACCCCAACAUAAGACAGUCCACAAAUGAAAAGCUCACAACCAACAUAAUACUCAUGGUGAAAAGCUGAAAGCUUCCUCUAAGAUCAGGAAUGAGACAAAAAUGUCCACUUUUGAAUCAACCUGUAUUCAACAUAGUAUAAGAAGUCCUCGCCAGAAUUUUCAGGAAAAAAAAAAAAGAAAGAAAAAAAAGCCAGUCAAAUUGAAAAGAAAGAAGAAAAAUUAUCUUUGCUCACAAAUGACAUGAACUUAUAAAACUCCUAGAAUUAAUAAAUGGAUGCUGCAAUGUUGAAGGAUACAAAAAUCAACACACAAAAAUCAGUUAUGUUUUUAUAUACUAACAAUGAAUGAGCCAAAAAUGAAAUUAAAACAAUUCCAUUUACAAUAGCAUCAGAAAGACUAAAAUACCUAACAAUAAACUUAACCAAGGAGGUAAAAUGCUUGAGUAUUUAGACACUAAAAAUUAUAAGGCCUGCACGGUGGUUCAUACCUGUAAUCCCAGCAUUUUGGGAGGCAGGUGGAUCACUUGAGGUUAGGAGUUUGAGACCAGCCUGGCC
rnacentral:lncRNA from 10 species